rnacentral:rRNA from 1 species
GGCGGCAGGCCUAACACAUGCAAGUCGAACGGUAACAGGAAGAAGCUUGCUUCUUUGCUGACGAGUGGCGGACGGGUGAGUAAUGUCUGGGAAACUGCCUGAUGGAGGGGGAUAACUACUGGAAACGGUAGCUAAUACCGCAUAACGUCGCAAGACCAAAGAGGGGGACCUUCGGGCCUCUUGCCAUCGGAUGUGCCCAGAUGGGAUUAGCUUGUUGGUGGGGUAACGGCUCACCAGGCGACGAUCCCUAGCUGGUCUGAGAGGAUGACCAGCCACACUGGAACUGAGACACGGUCCAGACUCCUACGGGAGGCAGCAGUGGGGAAUAUUGCACAAUGGGCGCAAGCCUGAUGCAGCCAUGCCGCGUGUAUGAAGAAGGCCUUCGGGUUGUAAAGUACUUUCAGCGGGGAGGAAGGGAGUAAAGUUAAUACCUUUGCUCAUUGACGUUACCCGCAGAAGAAGCACCGGCUAACUCCGUGCCAGCAGCCGCGGUAAUACGGAGGGUGCAAGCGUUAAUCGGAAUUACUGGGCGUAAAGCGCACGCAGGCGGUUUGUUAAGUCAGAUGUGAAAUCCCCGGGCUCAACCUGGGAACUGCAUCUGAUACUGGCAAGCUUGAGUCUCGUAGAGGGGGGUAGAAUUCCAGGUGUAGCGGUGAAAUGCGUAGAGAUCUGGAGGAAUACCGGUGGCGAAGGCGGCCCCCUGACGAA